rnacentral:rRNA from 1 species
GACGUAGGGUGCGAGCGUUAAUCGGAAUUACUGGGCGUAAAGCGUGCGUAGGCGGUUCGUUAAGUUCGUUGUGAAAGCCCCGGGCUCAACCUGGGAAUGGCAAUGGAAACUGGCGGGCUGGAGUAUGGCAGAGGGGGGUGGAAUUCCGCGUGUAGCAGUGAAAUGCGUAGAGAUGCGGAGGAACACCGAUGGCGAAGGCAGCCCCCUGGGCCAAUACUGACGCUCAGGCACGAAAGCGUGGGGAGCAAACAGG